GGCCGUUUAGCUCAGUUGGUUAGAGCGUCGUGCUAAUAACGCGAAGGUCGUGGGUUCGAUCCCCCCAAUGGCCA